UAGAUUUUUUUUUUUGUUUU
rnacentral:miRNA from 1 species